rnacentral:rRNA from 1 species
GCUUAACUGCGAGACCCACAAGUCGAGCAGGUACGAAAGUAGGUCUUAGUGAUCCGGUGGUUCUGUAUGGAAGGGCCAUCGCUCAACGGAUAAAAGGUACUCUGGGGAUAACAGGCUGAUACCGCCCAAGAGUUCAUAUCGACGGCGGUGUUUGGCACCUCGAUGUCGGCUCAUCUCAUCCUGGGGCUGAAGCAGGUCCCAAGGGUAUGGCUGUUCGCCAUUUAAAGAGGUACGCGAGCUGGGUUUAGAACGUCGUGAGACAGUUCGGUCCCUAUCUACCGUGGGCGUUGGAAAUUUGAGAGGAUCUGCUCCUAGUACGAGAGGACCAGAGUGGACGAACCUCUGGUGUUUCGGUUGUCACGCCAGUGGCAUUGCCGAGUAGCUAUGUUCGGAUGGGAUAACCGCUGAAAGCAUCUAAGCGGGAAGCCCACCUUAAGAUAAGAUUUCCCUAAAGAGCCGUUGUAGACGACGACGUUGAUAGGUUGGGUGUGGAAGUGUAGUGAUACAUGUAGCUAACCAAUACUAAUUGCUCGUUUGGCUUGACCAUACAACACCCAAG